rnacentral:rRNA from 1 species
UACAGAGGGUGCAAGCGUUGUUCGGAUUCAUUGGGCGUAAAGGGUGCGUAGGCGGCGCGGUAAGUCUGGUGUGAAAUCUCGGAGCUUAACUCCGAAACUGCAUUCGAUACUGCCGUGCUUGAGGACUGGAGAGGAGACUGGAAUUUACGGUGUAGCGGUGAAAUGCGUAGAUAUCGUAAGGAAGACCAGUGGCGAAGGCGGGUCUCUGGACAGUUCCUGACGCUGAGGCACGAAGGCCAGGGGAGCAAACGGG